GAAAUCACCUUACGAGUUUUCUCCUUCUCUCUCUUUUUCUCCUUUUCUCUCUUUUGUCUCUCUCUCUAAACUCUAUUAUUGUGAGUCUACAGUGCAAAGGGUCAUGAGAAUUAUUAUUAUGUCUCAUGCCCACUUGGUUCUCUCCAUCUAGGAGGGACCCAACAAAUGUAACCCUGAUUAUAUAAAAACUUCAAAAUCUAUAAUUUACACCAGUUUUUAAAUAUAAAUAAUAGAAAUUUGAAAAUUUAAAAGAAAAAUAAAUAAAUAUUAUUUGGUUUAAAAUUUAUUCAUGUUAUAUGUCUAAAUAUCACAAUUCACAACUAAUCACAAUUUGUCACCCUUUUUUGACAACAAAGAUAGAUUUUAUUCAAAUAGUGAAUGGGUAAUACAAUUUGUCACUUUUAUUAUAUAUCACAAUUGCUAAAAUAAAAGUAUGGCCAUAAAAUUUUGACUGAAUUUUUUUUUGUUCCCCCGAUUUAAGUGUGUAACCCGCCGCCACAAAUUUAUCCUAAAACCCUAAUUACACUUACAAUAACUUCUUAUUUUUCUUGUUUAAUUCGCCUCCAUUAUCUCUCUCUCUUUUCCUUCGGUUUCGUUCUUAGAUCGUAUCUCGUUUCUUAAUUUUUCAGUCUUGUUCAGUUGCAUAUAAGAAUUUCCGGCAGUGGUUAGAAGAGGAGAUGUGUUUCUUCAAUCUCUCCAGCAGUGGUCAAUUCAGCGAGAUGAAGAAUCUAAACCAGUGGAAACACAAGUUCAUGUUCUAUUGUCGUUACUUUAUCUCAGUUUCACCACGCUUGAAUUUCCUGUCAAAUACCAAGAUGAGAAUUGAUCUGAGGCUACAAUACGAACGCUGGAAGCACAUCUCUCACUGUUUGAUCAGGAUCCAUAAAAACUACGAUCUUUUGCUGAGACACAAUUUGCACAUUAUUACUAUUCUAAGAUGACCGCCCUGCUCGGCAAGAAAGUUCAGAUUGUUUGGGAUGAUAUAUUGGUCUGCCACAGCUAAUCAAGUGUUCUACCUUCGAAUGUGAUGGUGGUGGAAAACGCAGCAUCAAUGAUCUGCAACAGCGGUGGUGUUGGCCGGUACGGCCGAGACGACAGAAUUAGAUGUAUUGAUUUAUUGUUUUCUUUUUAUCUUUAAUUUUAAUUAUUUAAUUAAUUUUAUUUAUUUGUAUUACAAAAUAUUAUUCGAAAAAUAAAUAGAUUUUGUUAUUAUUUUUAAAUUUAA